rnacentral:rRNA from 1 species
GUCUUUUUGAAAGAAUAUAAAAAGUCUGACCUGCCCAGUGAUUUAUUUUAACGGCCGCGGUAUAUUGACCGUGCAAAGGUAGCAUAAUCAUUAGUCUUUUAAAAGAGGGCUGGAAUGAAAGGUUUGACGAGGUAUUAACUGUCUCAUUUUAUUUGGAUUUAGAAUUUAACUUUUUAGUCAAAAGGCUAAAAUUUAAUUGGUAGACGAGAAGACCCUAUAGAGCUUUAUAUUAAAUAUUUUGAUUUUAUUUAGAUAAUUUUUAAUUAAAGAAUUUAAUAUUUUGUUGGGGUGACAGAAAAAUAAAAUUAACUUUUUUAAUUAUGUAACAUUAAUUUAUGAUUAAUUGAUCCAAUAUUAUUGAUUAAUAGAUUAAGUUACCUUAGGGAUAACAGCGUAAUCCUCCCCCAGAGUUCAUAUUUACGGGUAGGGCUUGCGACCUCGAUGUUGGAUUAAGAUAAUAAUUAGGUGUAGCCGCUUAAUUUAUAGGUCUGUUCGACCUUUAAAUUCUU